rnacentral:rRNA from 1 species
AAGCCUGACGCAGCAACGCCGCGUGUGGGAAGACGGCCUUCGGGUUGUAAACCACUUUCAGGGGGGACGAAGCUUACCAGGGUUAAUAGCCCAUGGGGUCGACGGUACCCCCAGAAGAAGCCCCGGCUAACUACGUGCCAGCAGCCGCGGUAAUACGUAGGGGGCGAGCGUUGUCCGGAAUCAUUGGGCGUAAAGCGCGUGUAGGCGGCUCGGUAAGUCCGGUGUGAAACCUUGGGGCUCAACCCCAAGCCUGCACUGGAUACUGUCGAGCUCGAGUCCGGGAGGGGAGAGCGGAAUUCCUAGUGUAGCGGUGAAAUGCGCAGAUAUUAGGAAGAACACCGGUGGCGAAGGCGGCUCUCUGGAACGGUACUGACGCUGAGACGCGAAAGCGUGGGGAGCGAACAGGAUUAGAUACCCUGGUAGUCCACGCCGUAAACGAUGGGCACUAGAUGUGGGCGGUGUCGACUCCGUCCGUGUCGAAGCUAACGCAUUAAGUGCCCCGCCUGGGGAGUACGGCCGCAAGGCUA